GGGAGUGUUAAGAGGUGAAUAAUUCACUUUAAGCCUUUUCAUACCGACAUCGCUUCUGAUAGCUUUGCCUUCAACAGAAUAUAUGGUGUGGUUCUUUCUACAUUGCUGAAGUAGGCAACAGCACUUUAAGCCACCACUUAUAAAGUUCUCUGACAGCACCUAUGGCUCUGGAAUUUUCAAAGUGCAUGAGUGCUCUUUUUCUCUAUCAAGAAUAUGGAAGAUUUAUCCCACCAGAGGGAAUACCUACAACUGGAUUCUCUGAAAUCAGGCCUCCAAACUAAGAACCCAAAGAAUGGAUAUCACAGAAAAGAGACCAGAUGGCAAGAAUAAGAAGAAAAGAAUCAGAACAAGUCAUACUUCUCUUAGUAACAGGACAGCAAGACCCAGACUGGCAUCCUGUAGGGAGAAAGCAGCACCCAUUGUCGCUACGCCUUCUUUCCCCAACAUGCCAAAUAUUCCAGAGUAAAUUUACAGAUGGGCUCAAACUAUAAUGUUUGGGUAAUUGUAGAUAUAAAUGUCCCCUUUGAAAACUUAUUAUUCGUUGGUGUAUCUUAUAUGAUAUUUAACACUAUAAUCUCUCAGAAAGUUUUCUCCUCUUUUCGAAUGGUAAUUGACAAUGAAUCCUAAACUUUAAAUGUCAUUUCUCUGCUCCUUCCUAUUAUUUUUUUCUUUAAUUUUGUAUCCCAACUAUCUGGCUAGUGGAGAUAAUUAAAUUUUUAAUAUGGUUUGAAAGCUCAUUCUGCUUGAAGGCUUUAUUCUAUCAAAGCUUCUUAUUGUUUGAUAAAGAUUUUGCAGUUAAAGUUUAAAAUUCAGAUAAAAUAGUAAAUAAGUCCUAAAACAGCUUAA